rnacentral:rRNA from 1 species
CAGCAGCCGCGGGAAUGCGAAGGGUGCAAGCGUUAAUCGGAAUUACUGGGCGUAAAGCGUGCGUAGGCGGUUUGUUAAGUCUGUUGUGAAAUCCCCGGGCUCAACCUGGGAAUGGCAAUGGAUACUGGCAAGCUAGAGUGUGUCAGAGGAUGGUGGAAUUCCCGGUGUAGCGGUGAAAUGCGUAGAGAUCGGGAGGAACAUCAGUGGCGAAGGCGGCCAUCUGGGACAACACUGACGCUGAGGCACGAAAGCGUGGGGAGCAAACAGGAUUAGAUACCCCCGUAGUCCCUGUCUCUUAUAC